GGGCUACGUGUUGAUCGGGCUCGGACGAUCCUCCCACCCUUUGUGUACCUACCUCUGUUGCUUUGGCGGGCCGCGGUCCUCCGCGGCCGCCCCCCUCCCCGGGGGGGUGGCCAGCGCCCGCCAGAGGACCAUCAAACUCCAGUCAGUAAACGAUGCAGUCUGAAAAACAUUUAAUAAACUAAAACUUUCAACAACGGAUCUCUUGGUUCUGGCAUCGAUGAAGAACGCAGCGAAAUGCGAUAAGUAAUGUGAAUUGCAGAAUUCAGUGAAUCAUCGAAUCUUUGAACGCACAUUGCGCCCUUUGGUAUUCCGAAGGGCAUGCCUGUUCGAGCGUCAUUACAACCCUCAAGCUCUGCUUGGUAUUGGGCACCGUCCUUUGCGGGCGCGCCUCAAAGACCUCGGCGGUGGCGUCUUGCCUCAAGCGUAGUAGAACAUACAUCUCGCUUCGGAGCGCAGGGCGUCGCCCGCCGGACGAACCUUCUGAACUUUUCUCAAGGUUGACCUCGGAUCAGGUAGGGAUACCCGCUGAACUUAAGCAUAUCAAUAAGGCGGAGGAA
rnacentral:rRNA from 1 species